GGGGAAUCUUCCGCAAUGGGCGAAAGUCUGAUGAAGCAAUACCGCGUGAAGGAUGAAGGUUUUAGGACUGUAAACUUCUGUCAUAAGGGAAGAAAAUAUUAAAGAGGAAAUGCUUUAAUUUUGACGGUACCUUAUUAGAAAGUCACGGCUAACUAUGUGCCAGCAGCCGCGGUAAUACGUAGGUGGCAAGCGUUAUCCGGAUUUAUUGGGCGUAAAGAGUGCACAGGUGGUUAUAUAAGUUUGAUGUUAAAAACCGAAGCUCAACUUCGGUCCGCAUUGGAAACUGUAUAACUAGAAUACAGGUGGGGAUAGUGGAAUUCGAUGUGUAGCGGUGGAAUGCAUAAAUAUAUCGAGGAACACCAGUGGCGAAGGCGGCUAUCUGAACUGUAAUUGACACUUAAGCACGAAAGCGUGGGGAAU
rnacentral:rRNA from 1 species